CUACGGAGGAUCCAAGCGUUAUCCGGAAUCAUUGGGUUUAAAGGGUCCGUAGGUGGACAGAUAAGUCAGAGGUGAAAUCCUGCAGCUCAACUGUAGAAUUGCCUUUGAAACUGUUUGUCUUGAGUCACUGUGAAGUGGUUAGAAUGUGUAGUGUAGCGGUGAAAUGCAUAGAUAUUACACAGAAUACCGAUUGCGAAGGCAGAUCACUAAUAAUGUACUGACACUGAUGGACGAAAGCGUGGGUAGCGAACAGGAUUAGAAACCCUAGUAGUCC
rnacentral:rRNA from 1 species